AGGACGAACGCUGGCGGCGUGCUUAACACAUGCAAGUCGAGCGGAAAGGCCCUUCGGGGUACUCGAGCGGCGAACGGGUGAGUAACCCCCCCCCCCCCCCCCCCCCCCCCCCCCCCAGUGAGUAACCUGCCCUGGACUUUGGGAUAACCCUCGGAAACGGGGGCUAAUACCGGAUAUGACGACUCACCGCAUGGUGUGGUUGUGGAAAGUUUUUCGGUUUGGGAUGGGCUCGCGGACUAUCAGCUUGUUGGUGGGGUGAUGGCCUACCAAGGCGACGACGGUUAGCCGGCCUGAGAGGGCGACCGGCCACGACUGGGACUGGAGACACGGCCCAGACUCCUACGGGAGGCAGCAGUGGGGAAUAUUGCACAAUGGGCGGAAGCCUGAUGCAGCGACGCCGCGUGAGGGAUGACGGCCUUCGGGUUGUAAACCUCUUUCAGCAGGGACGAAGCGUGAGUGACGGUACCUGCAGAGAAGCGCCGGCAACUACGUGCCAGCAGCCGC
rnacentral:rRNA from 1 species